GUUACCUGGGGAAAUUCCUAUUUAGUUUUUAUUUUGUUUUAUAUAAAUUUGCCAAAAAGGGGCAGCCUCCAAUCAGAUUAAAAGUGCAGUUCCAGUCUCCCGAUAUCCUAGACCACUAAGAAACACGUCUACUUUCACUCACUGUAAACACACAUAUUUAUGCUCAUAUUGUAUUCCGGCAAAUGUUGAAAUACUUUUCGCAGAUCUUUAC
rnacentral:lncRNA from 1 species